rnacentral:tRNA from 1 species
GCAUUGGUGCUUCAGUGGUAGAAUUCUUGCCUGCCAUGCAGGAGGCCCGGGUUCGAUUGCUGGCCAGUGCA